rnacentral:misc_RNA from 1 species
GAAAAAUCCCACUUUCAUUACGUUCAGCAGUGGCAACGCCAGCAAUAACCAAGAAGAAAUCACUAAUUCACGCAGUGCCUCCAUCUCCAUCUGAGAAAUCUCAUUGCUUCACCAAGAAAAAACCAUCCCAAAUUCCCCAGAAAGCCAAUGUUCUAGCCUCCACUGGAACCCAACAACAAAGGCCCCUCUUCAAGUCUCCGGAACUCGAUGACGCCAAGAAACUCUUCAAUUCAUUCAUUUCCACCUCCCGGGUUCCUCUCGAUCUCCGCUUCCACAAUUCUUUUCUCCAAUCCUACGCCUCAAUUUCCACCAUUGAUAACUCCAUCUCUCUCCUCAACCACAUGGUCAAAACUCUCCCUUCCUUCAUCCCUGACCGAUCCACUUACCAUAUUUUGCUCUCCCAGUCCUGCAGAACAACUGCUCCC